AAUUUCAGAAAUACAAAAAUGGAUUCACAAUCAGAAGUGCAAAAAGUAGGUAAGUGUUCUGGAUAUCUUCUGUUUGCCCCUCCAGAUUCACUACCCACUGGUUUCUACUUUGCUGUCUGCUCUGGUAAGUAACCCAUUUGGACUACAUCAAGACGGACCCAGCUCCUCCGGCUUUUAAUGUUCCUUGUGACUUGGGAAAUUCACCCAUCAUUCCUCUCACCAACCAAAGGAUGUCAAAUAAAUGACCCAAACAUUCUCUGGCUAGAGCCUUCAGUAAAUCCCUGUGGAAGAAAGUCUGGAGAUCUGCCUCUCUUAUCCAUAUUGCCAUGCCAAGGACAAGGAUAUCCUGGAAGAAAAGCUGGAAAAAACAAGGGCAUUUAUACUCUGGGAUUGUGAAAAUGAUUAGACUCACUGAAUCCUGUAUAUAACAACUGUGUCUGUUGUUGCUAGCCUUUCAACAGAACUGUGCCAGAAUCCAUUUCUCUUUAAAUGCCAUGGAAUGUCAUUGAUACAUGAAAUGACACCCCUGAACUUUGAGGAUGCAGAAGGAAGAUCUCAGUGCAAGACCCUAGUUAUUCAUUAGCAAGUUGGAAUUGGGCUAUCUGUGCCCAUCACUCUUCAUGAAGAAAAUAUAUUCUAUAUAGACUUACUGGUGGAAAAACAUUUCUACAGAAGCUGUCUCAAAUCACUACUGAAUUAAAUCGGGCUGCAAAGGAAUAAAUACUGUAACCAGCAUAACCCUCCUAGCAACUGCAAUAUGGAUAUGCUAAUACUAAGUCAAAGCAUCAUCCUGAUGUCUGUACGGAAGUGCCAUUGUCUCCGAUCAGAUCAGCUGUGAGCUUGGGCCAAUCCUAAGUAGGAUACUCUACUCUAUAUCAUGACAAUUGUUAUUUUCAUCAAAGAUGACAAUAAAUCAUAUUUAUUUUCUUCUUUUGUGUUUCCCAUCAAUAACUCUACCCCCAACACUUUUCCUACCUACAACUUCUAAACAUCUCUUUUUUCUUCUUAAGACCCUUCUCCUCUGCCCUUGCCCUCAAUCUUCCUUAUUUCUUAACACAGUAUACUCUAGAAAUUUCUUAGUGCUCAGUCAUUGUAUGAUUUUUAUCUGGCUCUGGAAAAUUUUUUCUGUUCUUGUUUUCACCUGCUGUGUUUAUAGGGCACUGCUGUGUAUAGUAAGCAUUCAGAACAGGUUUGUGCAUACUGAAAUCUCCACAUUCAGAAAAAUGGCAUUUAUUAAUUUGAGGACUUAAGAUGAGAAAACCCAGGCAUUUCUAUAACUCAGAGGAAACAAACACCUUUACUAUGUAAUGAUGAAUUUUGAUUUCCCAGGAUAACUUUACCAAAAAAAGGAUAGUAGUAAAUGUUUAAAAAUACAGUGACAAGACAUGUAACAUGUGAAUGUUUCAAGCUUCAGACAGCUGCAGUGAAACGAUUAGAUUUUUUUAAUGAAAAAAAAUAUGAAGGGUCACCGAGAAAAAACUAUGAUAAACAUCGUUGAUUUAUAGUUUCUUGACUUGGAAAUAAAGAGUUAUGCUUGAGUUAUUUUGUUACAUUUAUUUAUUUAUUGUGUUUCAUUCCACAAAGGAUUUGAGAAUUUGAGUCAGCUUACCAUUCCAAACAAUCAUGUUUUUAACUCUUCCUGAUAUAUUAUUUCCAUCUACCCAAAUAGUUUUCUGGUGUGCUGAAUUAAAUUACACCUAAAACUUGGAACUGAUAUACUGUGGGAAAGGAAGUUUACAUAAAAUGAUAAUAAUCUUGCUACUCUGGACUUAAGCUCGUUUUAAAUAACAUUUGAGACAGGAAAAUGAACAGCAUGCUUGUAAUGGGGGCAAGGCUGGGGUGUUCCUGAUCUUCUUUGCCUUCAUCUGAACUGAAGAUGUGUUCUCAGCCACCUUUCCUCAAUUAGUAAGCUAUUUUGAAAAGAUGUGGUAAACACUUAUAAAAUGAGGACUGUGAAAACCUCUCUGUAACUGCA